UUUGGGAACCUGGUUACUACACACUUGCUGCUUAUUUUGUUUGCUGUUAUAGAUGAUGUUGCAAUUAAUAUCUUUAUACUUCACUCUUGGGGCAUGCUCUGUAGCAUUUGUACAUGAGCAAUUAUGAAAUGCUUGCUCAGGACAGUUCUCUCAUUUUAAUGAAAAUUAUGAAGUUGUCUGCAAGCCUUCAACGAACAGACUUCCCAAGAAGACAGGACAUCAAAGGAUGAUGGAAAGAAGUCUGAAUAUUCACGGUCCAAGGGCUGGCAAGCUGUGCAUGCCAGGUCCCUCUGCCAUCCUGUUUCUGCCUUGCAGCCAGCUGACCAUGGACCAAAACUGGGCAGAGACUGUUUGCUUUAAGAAACUUGGUAGGAAAAGUUACAGGAGACAAAUGGAAAGGACAUAUGAAGUCAGACCAAAAAACUGUGAGUACCAGGUAUGCUGGUUAUGUGCCACUUGUCCUCACCUGCCUCUACUUAGGAUUCCUCUUUGCUCUGUUUGGUGCCCCAUGGGUAAGCCCUACAGACCUUAUCAUUUGAAGUGUCAGCCCCACGUGGUGGCCAAAGCUGCACAGUGGGGAGGCUCCCGGAAGGUGAAAGGAAAAUGACUGGGGAAUUUUCCCCAUUUCCUUCAUGCUCCAGGAACUUGGUUCUGGCAACAGCCGAAUCCUACCAGGGAGAGCUGCAUCCCUGGCCUCUUCACAGCAAUCCAGCAGUGCUGUUUGCUCCCCUUGGCCGUCCAGGUUCAGGUGUGGUAAUAGCCUGGUGCUCGUGCCACUUCCUGCAGCCCUCAGCAAUGCUUCUCGCUUCCCAUAAUCCUAAAAUACCCCCUUCACUCAACUCUUAGCCCAUAAAUCUAUUUGAGUGGGAGCUCGCUGCCUGCUGGGACCACUCCUGAUUCAGCAGGCCAAAGAGCUCAGGCUUCAUCUUGAGCACAGUGGGCAGGAUGAGAAAUGUCCGGGCUCAGAUGCCAACGCCUGGCACCAGCUCCCUGACUCAGCUGCUGGGAGAUGGAUAGACGGGGCUUACAGCGUCACUCACACGGGCUGGCAAGGGGACAGUGAGAAGAUGCUGGGGUGCAAGGACACUGAGCACCCCUCCAGAGCCCGGUAGUAAGGAGGCCUCCGUCAUUUAAUAUAAAGGCAUUUUAUUCAUUUACUUGAUACUUCACUGUAAUUAUGUGAAGGGAUUUCUGUGAACGUGCAAGGUAUGAUAUUGUUGAAAAUUUGUUAAAGGAUCUUAAUUCAUGGAGACUUAUUUAAGUGGCAACAGGACCUGACAUCCUGUAUCCUCCCGAAUUAUAUUACCUCCUAUGCUACAAAUCUUCCACUUGGUUGAGCAGCAGUGAAUUACCAGCCCGUUAGCUCCAGUUUUUAAAGCCAGAAUCUUUGUAAAAUAGAAGGACUAUGUUGGCUUAAUUUAGCAAACACAUAGAAGUGGGUAGAGGAAAGUGAGAGUAGGUGUUAAUAAUUAGGCAUUUCAGGGAAUUGUAAUCAGGUACUGUCAAUUUUCUGAAAAGAUUAGGCAGAUCAGAAAGGAAAUAUUAAACUUCAAGGAAGCAAAUUAAACUUUGCUUUUGAUAGUUAUUCAACUUUCACACUAUUCCCUCCACUUAUUACUUGAAAUAGGGUUAAAUGCCAGUUUCAAUUACAAGGCAAGCCAAAUCAUAAGAGCCUCAUCAAAAAAUUCUCUGCUGUUACUUGGUUAUAUUUAUAUCUUACUUUUGCUUUAACAAACUGCCAAAAACUUAAGGCUUAAAAGAAUAAAAAUAAUGAAGGGCCGGGCAUGGUGGAGCACACCUGUAAUCCCAGCACUUGGGAGGCUGAG